GAACCAUGCGCGCCCACACCGACAUGGUAACGGCGAUCGCCACCCCAAUCGACAACUCUGACAUGAUCGUGACGGCCUCGCGUGACAAGUCCAUCAUUGUCUGGCACCUCACUAAGGAGGAAAAGACCUACGGCGUUGCGCGCCGUCGUUUGACCGGCCACUCUCACUUCGUGCAGGACGUCGUCCUCUCCUCGGACGGCCAGUUCGCUCUCUCCGGCUCCUGGGACGGCGAGCUCCGCCUCUGGGAUUUGGCCGAGGGCAAAUCCGCCCGCAGGUUCGUCGGCCACACUAAGGACGUUCUCUCCGUCGCCUUCUCGAUCGACAACCGUCAGAUUGUAUCGGCCUCUCGUGACCGUACGAUCAAGUUGUGGAACACGCUCGGCGAGUGCAAGUACACGAUUCAAGAGGGAGACGCUCACACUGAGUGGGUUUCUUGUGUUAGGUUCAGCCCCAACACGCUUCAGCCCACUAUCGUUUCCGCCUCGUGGGACCGUACGGUCAAAGUGUGGAAUUUGAGCAACUGCAAGCUUAGGGCUACUCUUGCCGGGCACACUGGAUACGUGAACACCGUCGCAGUGUCGCCGGAUGGUUCGUUGUGUGCCAGUGGAGGGAAAGAUGGUGUGAUUCUGUUGUGGGAUUUGGCUGAGGGAAAAAGACUCUACUCGCUCGACGCUGGUGCUGUCAUUCACGCGCUCUGCUUCAGUCCUAAUAGGUAUUGGUUGUGUGCGGCGACUGAGCAGAGUAUAAAGAUCUGGGAUUUGGAGAGCAAGAGCAUUGUCGAGGAUCUUAAGGUUGAUCUUAAGACC
rnacentral:lncRNA from 1 species